UUUUAUUUUUUUUCUUUUAAUUUAUUUAACAAAACUAAACUCAUUAAAAUUGAAAUAAAAAAUUCAUUAAUUUAUUCCAUGAAUGGGAUUAUAUAAUUCGGGAAAAGGAAAAAAAACAACAAACACUCAUCAGCGGUGAAAGAUAAGCUCCAACAACACAACAACCUUAGCAUCAAUAGAACAUUAUGGCACAUUGACAAUCGACUUUAUCACAACUCAAGCACAAUAUAUUUGAAAUGAUUGCAAUCAACUAUCAUGAUAGGAAAGUAGCCUCAAAUGGUCCAAAGUGACAAGCAAAAUCGACAAAAUCUGAGAAUCCACCAAACUAGAGAGGACGAUGACAAAAUCAUCCUUAAAAUCACUUGUAAAAGUAAGACUAAAUGUGUAAGCAAGACUAAAAACUUGUAUAAGACAAGACAAAAACAUUCAAAAGUCAAGCCUUAUUAAACAUUCGAAGACAAACAACAAAAAAAUAAAACUUAAGACAACACAAGUCCAAAGCGACUCAUGAAAUAAAUUAUUUUUCUGAAAUACUCUCAAAACAGAUACAAAUUAAGGGUGAGUUUGCAUGGGCAGUGCAUUUACCUACGGUUAGUGUAAAAACAGCGGUGGCGGUGAGAUUAGAUACUGAAGCGAUACUGUAGCGUGAGACAAAAAGUAAGCUAAACGCACCGCACUGCACCCAAUCGCCCAUCCAAACCCACCCCAAGAAGCCAACGGAGAGCCAUCAUUCAAAUAUCUACAAUCAAUCCACUUUCCAAAAGAAAUUAUUGGUGGCUGGUGGAGGUUCAACGACGACAUACACCUUCACCUAUCAAUCACAACUUGUGAAGGCAAUGAAGAUACCCACAAAACAAAUCUACAAAUUGAAAAGAGAGAAGGCGCAUGGAGUGAAUGAGGAGAAAAAAUUAAACAGAAGGUUGGUAGGAGGAAGAAAAAGGUAGGUCGUAACCAGCUCGAAAACUAGCACCACUUGUUGGAAAAAUCUAGUUAGAAAAAUAGUUUUUAGUUAUAAUGAAAAAUUAAAAUUUUGAAAAACGAAGUCACUUUAUAAUAUUUAUAGCAAUAAAAUUUUCUCGAAAAGUACUUAUGAUUUGAGUGAGAUGGAUCUAUAUCGUUCAUGGCUUUUAACCGAACUACCUUUUCCACUAUUCUUGUAACACCCUCGCCUGACCCGAUCGCUAGGUCCAAGCUACAGGAUGCCACAUCCAUUGUCGGAGCAACUAUCGUCAAAUAAAUCAUAAAUAAAUCAUUCAAACAUUCAUCCACGCUAUAAACACUUUCAUAUUAUGAUAUAUAAUCAAUUUCGAGCCUUAAUCGAACUUAUGAAAGCCCUUUUGUUGGCCCGACCACGAAAUAUAACCAAAUUGCAAAGUUUCAAAACUUCAAGAAUGACAUCAUGAUGUCAUCACUUCCAUGUCGUGACGUUGCCAAAUAGUUUUUCAUGUCACGAUGUUAGACCACUCGACGUUGUGACGUCACAUAUUGUCGGUCGGUAUUGCGACGAGGAAGCAUAGUUUUCAGGAGGAAGACUCUAUUUUUGGCAAAAUUUGAACCAUUUGAUACCUAUUUCGAGCUUUGUCCCAAACUUGCUUAUUUUGUGCACAAAUACACAACUUUACCUACACCAAAACAUCCCAAACACAUACUAAAAUAAUCCAUUUGACCAUUUCAAUUCAAUCACCCCAUAUAUAACCUCAAUUUAUUGCAUAAGUACUAUUCUUUUAAGAUUGUGGAUCAUUAUCGCUUGCAACUGUAGAACUUCU
rnacentral:lncRNA from 1 species